rnacentral:rRNA from 1 species
GGGUCAGUAGGUUGGUCGUGCCACCGGUACGUACUGGUCUCACUGAUUCCUCCUUCCUGAAGAACCGUAAUGCCAUUAAUUUGGUGUUGCGGGGAAACAGGACUGUUACUUUGAAAAAAUUAGAGUGUUUAAAGCAAUCUAACGAUUGAAUACAUUAGCAUUGAAUAAUGAAAUAGGACGAUCGAUCCUAUUUUGUUGGUUUCUAGGAUUGACGUA